rnacentral:rRNA from 1 species
AUUGAACGCUGGCGGCAUGCCUUACACAUGCAAGUCGAACGGCAGCGGACCUUCGGGUGCCGGCGAGUGGCGAACGGGUGAGUAAUAUAUCGGAACGUACCUUUCAGUGGGGGAUAACGUAGCGAAAGUUACGCUAAUACCGCAUAUUCUGUGAGCAGGAAAGCAGGGGAUCGCAAGACCUCGCGCUGAUUGAGCGGCCGAUAUCAGAUUAGCUAGUUGGUGAGGUAAAGGCUCACCAAGGCGACGAUCUGUAGCGGGUCUGAGAGGAUGAUCCGCCACACUGGAACUGAGACACGGUCCAGACUCCUACGGGAGGCAGCAGUGGGGAAUUUUGGACAAUGGGCGCAAGCCUGAUCCAGCCAUGCCGCGUGAGUGAAGAAGGCCUCGG